rnacentral:rRNA from 1 species
UAGGGAAUCUUCCUGCAAUGGGCGAAAGCCUGACGGAGCAACGCCGCGUGAGUGAAGAAGGUCUUCGGAUCGUAAAACUCUGUUAUUAGGGAAGAACAAAUGUGUAAGUAACUAUGCACGUCUUGACGGUACCUAAUCAGAAAGCCACGGCUAACUACGUGCCAGCAGCCGCGGUAAUACGUAGGUGGCAAGCGUUAUCCGGAAUUAUUGGGCGUAAAGCGCGCGUAGGCGGUUUUUUAAGUCUGAUGUGAAAGCCCACGGCUCAACCGUGGAGGGUCAUUGGAAACUGGAAAACUUGAGUGCAGAAGAGGAAAGUGGAAUUCCAUGUGUAGCGGUGAAAUGCGCAGAGAUAUGGAGGAACACCAGUGGCGAAGGCGACUUUCUGGUCUGUAACUGACGCUGAUGUGCGAAAGCGUGGGGAUCAAACAGGAUUAGAUACCCUGGUAGUCCACGCCGUAAACGAUGAGUGCUAAGUGUUAGGGGGUUUCCGCCCCUUAGUGCUGCAGCUAACGCAUUAAGCACUCCGCCUGGGGAGUACGACCGCAAGGUUG